rnacentral:rRNA from 1 species
GACGAACGCUGGCGGCGUGCCUAAUACAUGCAAGUUGAGCGAUGAAGAUUGGUGCUUGCCCCAAUUUCAAGAGCAGCGAACGGGUGAGUAACGCGUGGAGAAUCUACCUUUGAGCGGGGGACAACAUCUGGAAACGAAUGCUAAUACCGCAUAACAACUUUAAACAUAAGUUUCAAGUUUGAAAGAUGCAAUUGCAUCCCUCAAAGGUGAUCCCGCGGUGGAUUAGGCAGUUGGGGAGGUAAAGGCCCACCCAGGCGAAGAUACAUAGCCGGACCGGGAGGGGGGUUGGGCAAAAUGGGACUGGGAAACGGCCCAAACCCCCACGGGGAGGCGCAGGAGGGAAAUUUCCGCAAUGGAGGAAAGGCUUGACGGGGAACGGCGCGUGGGGGGAGAAGGUUUUCGGGAUGGAAAACUCCUGUGGUAGGGGAGGAAGAAGGGUGGAGGGGACAGCUCAUGAAGUGACGGUAACUAACCAGAAAGGGACGGCUAACUACGUG